AAUGGGCGCAAGCCUGAUCCAGCCAUGCCGCGUGAGUGAUGAAGGCCUUAGGGUUGUAAAGCUCUUUUGUCCGGGACGAUAAUGACGUACCGGAAGAUAG
rnacentral:rRNA from 1 species